rnacentral:rRNA from 1 species
AGAGUUUGAUCCUGGCUCAGGAUGAACGCUAGCGAUAGGCUUAACACAUGCAAGUCGAGGGGCAGCAUUAUUUUAGCUUGCUAAGAUAGAUGGCGACCGGCGCACGGGUGCGUAACGCGUAUGCAACCUGCCUGUAAUUAGGGAAUAACCCGGUGAAAGUCGGACUAAUACCCUAUAUUCUUCUUUCUCCGCAUGGGGAAGGACGGAAAGAUUUAUUGAUUACAGAUGGGCAUGCGUCCCAUUAGCUAGUUGGUAAGGUAACGGCUUACCAAGGCAACGAUGGGUAGGGGGACUGAGAGGUUGACCCCCCACACUGGUACUGAGACACGGACCAGACUCCUACGGGAGGCAGCAGUGAGGAAUAUUGGUCAAUGGGCGAGAGCCUGAACCAGCCAAGUCGCGUGAAGGACGACGGUUCUAUGGAUUGUAAACUUCUUUUGUAGAGGAAUAAUGGCAGCUACGCGUAGCUGAGAUGCAUGUACUCUACGAAUAAGUAUCGGCUAACUCCGUGCCAGCAGCCGCGGUAAUACGGAGGAUACGAGCGUUAUCCGGAAUUAUUGGGUUUAAAGGGUGCGUAGGUGGCGUAUUAAGUCAGUGGUGAAAAGCUGCAGCUCAACUGUAGUCUUGCCGUUGAAACUGAUAUGCUAGAGAGGAGACGAGGUAUGCGGAAUGUGUGGUGUAGCGGUGAAAUGCAUAGAUAUCACACAGAACGCCGAUUGCGAAGGCAGCGUACCAGGCUCCGUCUGACACUGAAGCACGAAAGCGUGGGGAUCAAACAGGAUUAGAUACCCUGGUAGUCCACGCAGUAAACGAUGAAUACUAGAUUUUUGCGAUAUACUGUAAGAGUCUAAGCGAAAGCGAUAAGUAUUCCACCUGGGGAGUACGCCGGCAACGGUGAAACUCAAAGGAAUUGACGGGGGCCC